rnacentral:rRNA from 3 species
GGGUUGUGAGGUUAAGCGACUAAGCGUACACGGUGGAUGCCCUGGCAGUCAGAGGCGAUGAAGGACGUGCUAAUCUGCGAUAAGCGUCGGUAAGGUGAUAUGAACCGUUAUAACCGGCGAUUUCCGAAUGGGGAAACCCAGUGUGAUUCGUCACACUAUCAUUAACUGAAUCCAUAGGUUAAUGAGGCGAACCGGGGGAACUGAAACAUCUAAGUACCCCGAGGAAAAGAAAUCAACCGAGAUUCCCCCAGUAGCGGCGAGCGAACGGGGAGCAGCCCAGAGCCUGAAUCAGUGUGUGUGUUAGUGGAAGCGUCUGGAAAGGCGCGCGAUACAGGGUGACAGCCCCGUACACAAAAAUGCACAUGCUGUGAGCUCGAUGAGUAGGGCGGGACACGUGGUAUCCUGUCUGAAUAUGGGGGGACCAUCCUCCAAGGCUAAAUACUCCUGACUGACCGAUAGUGAACCAGUACCGUGAGGGAAAGGCGAAAAGAACCCCGGCGAGGGGAGUGAAAAAGAACCUGAAACCGUGUACGUACAAGCAGUGGGAGCACGCUUAGGCGUGUGACUGCGUACCUUUUGUAUAAUGGGUCAGCGACUUAUAUUCUGUAGCAAGGUUAACCGAAUAGGGGAGCCGAAGGGAAACCGAGUCUUAACUGGGCGUUAAGUUGCAGGGUAUAGACCCGAAACCCGGUGAUCUAGCCAUGGGCAGGUUGAAGGUUGGGUAACACUAACUGGAGGACCGAACCGACUAAUGUUGAAAAAUUAGCGGAUGACUUGUGGCUGGGGGUGAAAGGCCAAUCAAACCGGGAGAUAGCUGGUUCUCCCCGAAAGCUAUUUAGGUAGCGCCUCGUGAAUUCAUCUCCGGGGGUAGAGCACUGUUUCGGCAAGGGGGUCAUCCCGACUUACCAACCCGAUGCAAACUGCGAAUACCGGAGAAUGUUAUCACGGGAGACACACGGCGGGUGCUAACGUCCGUCGUGAAGAGGGAAACAACCCAGACCGCCAGCUAAGGUCCCAAAGUCAUGGUUAAGUGGGAAACGAUGUGGGAAGGCCCAGACAGCCAGGAUGUUGGCUUAGAAGCAGCCAUCAUUUAAAGAAAGCGUAAUAGCUCACUGGUCGAGUCGGCCUGCGCGGAAGAUGUAACGGGGCUAAACCAUGCACCGAAGCUGCGGCAGCGACGCUGAUGCGUUGUUGGGUAGGGGAGCGUUCUGUAAGCCUGUGAAGGUGUGCUGUGAGGCAUGCUGGAGGUAUCAGAAGUGCGAAUGCUGACAUAAGUAACGAUAAAGCGGGUGAAAAGCCCGCUCGCCGGAAGACCAAGGGUUCCUGUCCAACGUUAAUCGGGGCAGGGUGAGUCGACCCCUAAGGCGAGGCCGAAAGGCGUAGUCGAUGGGAAACAGGUUAAUAUUCCUGUACUUGGUGUUACUGCGAAGGGGGGACGGAGAAGGCUAUGUUGGCCGGGCGACGGUUGUCCCGGUUUAAGCGUGUAGGCUGGUUUUCCAGGCAAAUCCGGAAAAUCAAGGCUGAGGCGUGAUGACGAGGCACUACGGUGCUGAAGCAACAAAUGCCCUGCUUCCAGGAAAAGCCUCUAAGCAUCAGGUAACAUCAAAUCGUACCCCAAACCGACACAGGUGGUCAGGUAGAGAAUACCAAGGCGCUUGAGAGAACUCGGGUGAAGGAACUAGGCAAAAUGGUGCCGUAACUUCGGGAGAAGGCACGCUGAUAUGUAGGUGAAGCGACUUGCUCGUGGAGCUGAAAUCAGUCGAAGAUACCAGCUGGCUGCAACUGUUUAUUAAAAACACAGCACUGUGCAAACACGAAAGUGGACGUAUACGGUGUGACGCCUGCCCGGUGCCGGAAGGUUAAUUGAUGGGGUCAGCGCAAGCGAAGCUCUUGAUCGAAGCCCCGGUAAACGGCGGCCGUAACUAUAACGGUCCUAAGGUAGCGAAAUUCCUUGUCGGGUAAGUUCCGACCUGCACGAAUGGCGUAAUGAUGGCCAGGCUGUCUCCACCCGAGACUCAGUGAAAUUGAACUCGCUGUGAAGAUGCAGUGUACCCGCGGCAAGACGGAAAGACCCCGUGAACCUUUACUAUAGCUUGACACUGAACAUUGAGCCUUGAUGUGUAGGAUAGGUGGGAGGCUUUGAAGUGUGGACGCCAGUCUGCAUGGAGCCGGCCUUGAAAUACCACCCUUUAAUGUUUGAUGUUCUAACGUUGACCCGUGAUCCGGGUUGCGGACAGUGUCUGGUGGGUAGUUUGACUGGGGCGGUCUCCUCCUAAAGAGUAACGGAGGAGCACGAAGGUUGGCUAAUCCUGGUCGGACAUCAGGAGGUUAGUGCAAUGGCAUAAGCCAGCUUGACUGCGAGCGUGACGGCGCGAGCAGGUGCGAAAGCAGGUCAUAGUGAUCCGGUGGUUCUGAAUGGAAGGGCCAUCGCUCAACGGAUAAAAGGUACUCCGGGGAUAACAGGCUGAUACCGCCCAAGAGUUCAUAUCGACGGCGGUGUUUGGCACCUCGAUGUCGGCUCAUCACAUCCUGGGGCUGAAGUAGGUCCCAAGGGUAUGGCUGUUCGCCAUUUAAAGUGGUACGCGAGCUGGGUUUAGAACGUCGUGAGACAGUUCGGUCCCUAUCUGCCGUGGGCGCUGGAGAACUGAGGGGGGCUGCUCCUAGUACGAGAGGACCGGAGUGGACGCAUCACUGGUGUUCGGGUUGUCAUGCCAAUGGCACUGCCCGGUAGCUAAAUGCGGAAGAGAUAAGUGCUGAAAGCAUCUAAGCACGAAACUUGCCCCGAGAUGAGUUCUCCCUGACUCCUUGAGAGUCCUGAAGGAACGUUGAAGACGACGACGUUGAUAGGCCGGGUGUGUAAGCGCAGCGAUGCGUUGAGCUAACCGGUACUAAUGAACCGUGAGGCUUAACCUUACAACGCCGAAGCUGUU